rnacentral:rRNA from 1 species
AGAGUUUGAUCAUGGCUCAGAACGAACGCUGGCGGCGUGUUUUAAGCAUGCAAGUCGAGCGGCAAGGGUCUUCGGGCCCCUAGAGCGGCGGACGGGUGAGUAACACGUGGACAAUCUGCCCCCCGGCCGGGGAUAGCCCAGGGAAACCUGGAUUAAUACCGGAUGAGACGGGACCCGCGGAGGCGGGAUCCGGGAAAGGCGCUGCGGCGCCGCCGGGGGAUGAGUCUGCGUCCCAUUAGCUUGUUGGUGGGGUAACGGCCCACCAAGGCGACGAUGGGUAGCCGGCCUGAGAGGGUGGACGGCCACAUUGGAACUGAGACACGGUCCAGACUCCUACGGGAGGCAGCAGCUAAGAAUCUUCCGCAAUGGGCGAAAGCCUGACGGAGCGACGCCGCGUGAACGAAGAAGGCCGUGAGGUUGUAAAGUUCUUUUCGGGAGGGGAAACAACCGUGGCAGGGAAUGGCCGCGGGAUGACGUGAAUCCCGGAAUAAGCCCCGGCUAACUACGUGCCAGCAGCCGCGGUAACACGUAGGGGGCGAGCGUUGUUCGGAAUCAUUGGGCGUAAAGGGCGUGCAGGCGGUCCUGCAAGUCCGGCGUGAAAGACCCCGGCUCAACCGGGGGGGCGCGCUGGAAACUGCAGGGCUUGAGUACAGGAGGGGAUG